CUCACCAUUGUGUAUUGUAUCAAAAGGUGGGUUGGACCUCUCUGUAUGUAAGAAGAGAUCAGCAUUCCCUUCUGUUUAUUUACAAAGCACUCAUGCAGAAACUUCCAGCAUAUCUGAUUUCACUCAUUAAGGUUAAAACAAUAAAAUACAGCACAGGAACACAAGAUUGGAUAGCACUAGAUUUACAAAAGUAGUUUCAGAACUAGGAAAAAACUACUUAGAUUUUCAUGCUCAGCAGAAGUGGAAUAUAAUACAAAAUGAGCUCAGGCUUGAACGCCUUGUGCCUUUUAAAUUAGUUUGAAGCAUUGUUUGAGGAAAUGCUUAAGGAGGAAUAUACUUGUUUCUGAUGUCUGCUUGUGUGCUUGUUGCUAAAUGUAUUUUUAAAAUCUAUUUAAACAGGGCACACUUGCGAAAGAGAACGUUUUUUAAAUGUGUUUUCCCUGAAUAAAUAUAGGUAAAGGAAACCACCUAAAUGCAAAUUUGUAAUUUGGGUGAAUUAUCCCUUCAACUUAAAUGAGGGGUCUUCUUGAUCAUGUUUUUCUAUCUGAAAGGAAACUGAAUUGAAGGCAAAACUAAUCUGUGACCUCCGUGAGAAAAAGAAAAAAAUCUACUCCACUCUAACCGAGUCAAUCAAGGACUCCAUGCUUCAAUGCUAUAUAAGGUCAUCAGAGCAUGCAGGAAAAGAUUCUCUGAAAAGGAUGAAAGAUGAGCUACAUCAUCACAUGAAGAAUAACAAGAUUUUCCAGAAGGCUAAGAAAGAUAUGCUGGGUGGUUUAAUAAAUCUGAAGGAUCACCAUCAUGAUGCAGCUGAAGUGUAAACUACAAGAAUCAAUGGAUCUCUCACUGAAGACCCCCAACAGCUCGUUCCUCCCAGAUGAUGUCACUGUGGAGUAUAACAAGAUGAAGAUGUACUAUGAGAAACUGAUGGGUUCUCUAGUACAGUACACUUCACUCCAAGACUGGAUUUACACACAAAAACUACCACUUUUGAAUCACAGUCUGGGAAUAGAAGGAAGCGUGUGCAGGUGUCAACAGGUGUAACACUGUUAACCCUGAGAUUGUCAAAGAACUUACAACACAUAACCACAAGCCUACAUAUAGGCUCCAAUCCCCAAGGCAGGUCUUUUCCAGUGCAGUUCACUGGACUGGUGUUUCUGAUGGAAGGGAAAGGAGAUGUGGUUUACAUGGUGAC